AGCACAAUUGCUGGAUCGUAUGGUAAGAGUAUGUUUAAUUUUGUAGGAAACCACCAGACUGCCUUUCAAAGUGGCUGUACAAUUUUGUAUUCCCACCAGCAAU
rnacentral:pre_miRNA from 1 species